GUCCCAGAAUUGUAGGAUUUUAUUGAAAACUUUCUUAUGGAAAUUAGUUUUUGCCUACAGAACAUGCAUGUCUUGUCUGGGAACUUCUGGCAGGCUUUUUCUUUUUUUUUGCCAGCAAAUGUUCUUUAUUAAACAAAUCUGAAAAUUGAUUUUUUAUAGAAGUAGGUUGAAGCAAAAUUAUUCUUUAUAAUGUGGCUAUUUUUGUUUUCUUUUUUAUUUUUGGAUGAUAGGAGAAAAUGGAAUGAGAAAAAAAGAACAAUGCUGAAAACGCUGGAGAUGGUCAUGGGUGCAAACACUUCAGUGCAAAAGACUGAAGAAAAAGGAGUCCGGGAUGGCCUGGAUCCUGCCAUGUAAAUCAAAGAAGAGAGGGCCUGACUCAGCUGCCUAGCCUGCGUCACCUGGAACCCAUUAUGAUACAGGAUCAUAAACACCUCCAUUUUCCCUCCAGAGAGAGACCAGACCCACUGAAGUUAAGCUACCUGCAUAAGAGUUGAGUGCGAUCAGCUGUACUUAAUCUUUAAAUGUCCAACCCACUGAUAACCUUUGGUUUGCUUUGAUAACUGUGAAAUAAAUUCUCACUGCAUCGGAUGCCGGCA
rnacentral:lncRNA from 1 species